GACGAACGCUGGCGGCGUGCUUAACACAUGCAAGUCGAACGGAAAGGCCCUGCUUUUGUGGGGUGCUCGAGUGGCGAACGGGUGAGUAACACGUGAGUAACCUGCCCUUGACUUUGGGAUAACUUCAGGAAACUGGGGCUAAUACCGGAUAGGAGCUCCUGCUGCAUGGUGGGGGUUGGAAAGUUUCGGCGGUUGGGGAUGGACUCGCGGCUUAUCAGCUUGUUGGUGGGGUAGUGGCUUACCAAGGCUUUGACGGGUAGCCGGCCUGAGAGGGUGACCGGCCACAUUGGGACUGAGAUACGGCCCAGACUCCUACGGGAGGCAGCAGUGGGGAAUGUUGCACAAUGGGCGGAAGCCUGAUGCAGCAACGCCGCGUGCGGGAUGACGGCCUUCGGGUUGUAAACCGCUUUCGCCUGUGACGAAGCGUGAGUGACGGUAAUGGGUAAAGAAGCACCGGCUAACUACGUGCCAGCAGCCGCGGUGAUACGUAGGGUGCGAGCGUUGUCCGGAUUUAUUGGGCGUAAAGGGCUCGUAGGUGGUUGAUCGCGUCGGAAGUGUAAUCUUGGGGCUUAACCCUGAGCGUGCUUUCGAUACGGGUUGACUUGAGGAAGGUAGGGGAGAAUGGAAUUCCUGGUGGAGCGGUGGAAUGCGCAGAUAUCAGGAGGAACACCAGUGGCGAAGGCGGUUCUCUGGGCCUUUCCUGACGCUGAGGAGCGAAAGCGUGGGGAGCGAACAGGCUUAGAUACCCUGGUAGUCCACGCUGUAAACGGUGGGUACUAGGUGUGAGGUCCAUUCCACGGGUUCCGUGCCGUAGCUAACGCUUUAAGUACCCCGCCUGGGGAGUACGGCCGCAAGGCUAAAACUCAAAGGAAUUGACGGGGCCCCGCACAAGCGGCGGAGCAUGCGGAUUAAUUCGAUGCAACGCGUAGAACCUUACCUGGGUUUGACAUGGAUCGGGAGUGCUCAGAGAUGGGUGUGCCUCUUUUGGGGUCGGUUCACAGGUGGUGCAUGGCUGUCGCCAGCUCGUGUCGUGAGAUGUUGGGUUAAGUCCCGCAACGAGCGCAACCCUUGUUCACUGUUGCCAACACGUUAUGGUGGGGACUCAGUGGAGACCGCCGGGGUCAACUCGGAGGAAGGUGGGGAUGACGUCAAGUCAUCAUGCCCCUUAUGUCCAGGGCUUCACGCAUGCUACAAUGGCUGGUACAGAGAGUGGCGAGUCUGUGAGGGUGAGCGAAUCUCGGAAAGCCGGUCUCAGUUCGGAUUGGGGUCUGCAACUCGACCUCAUGAAGUCGGAGUCGCUAGUAAUCGCAGAUCAGCAACGCUGCGGUGAAUACGUUCCCGGGGCU
rnacentral:rRNA from 1 species